GGAAGACGGUUGACAAAGCGCACCCUGGGGUGCAUGGGGGGUUCCCAGCAAGGGCAAAGCGUUCCCUGUCAGAAAUCAGACCAGAACUGAGAGAGAUCCACUCGAUGCACGCUGGGGUUGAUCAUGAGGAUGAGACGGAACUCCUGACCGAGUCUCCUCCUUUUCCUGUCUCUCUGAAAUCUCACCCGAGUAAUACAGGACGUCAGAGUGGAGAGGCAUCCUCCCAUGGCAUAUUAGGUUGUCAGAGCAGCUGGGACUGCCGCCCUGAGGAGGUGCAGCAAAGAGACCAGAGAAUGACUUUGAGACACAGGAACAUAGAUGGUGAGGCAAUGUGAAAACGGAAACUGAGAUUUACACGGAAGAACACCGAAGAUCACUGGCAACCAAGGGUGGAUUCUUUACCCACUGAGCCACCUGGGAAGCCCAGAGAGAUGGGGGUACACUUGGAUAAUUAUUUACUCUCGUUGGUUUGUAGACAAUGUAAAUGCCAACUUGUUUCUAUAGUUUUUCAUUGGUGUUUGAUGAUUAAAAAUAAAAGUGUUGACUUUCUAAAGGCUAAUUGUUUCUUUGACAAAAUAACUGAAUUAUAUCUAAGUUCCAACAGUUGUGCUGUUAAUUAUAUUCAUUCUUCAAAAUAGAUGAUCAUAGACUAUUUACAAAUAAUGGCAUAUUUUCUGUAUCCAUGCAGCAGUAUCUACUAGCAGUAAUUCUUUUCUUUUUCAAUAGCAGUGUCCAGAGCCUCUAGUGCUGCGUUAAAUAGAAGCACUGGACUAACCUUUUUCCUGAUAAUAAAGUUAUCCCC
rnacentral:lncRNA from 1 species